GGGCCCGCUCCACGAAAACCCCGCAAACCGCCGCCAACCCUGGCAGCCCGAUCUCCGUAUUCAUCGCCGCUGCAAACCGCCCCCAACCCCGCCCGCCCGACCCAUUUGUCGCCGCCGCGCCGCAAACCGCCCGCCAACCCCACCCACCAACCCCGCCCGUCCGACCUCCGGAAUCGUAUCCACGGCGCGAUUCGCAGAAGGAUUUGGAUGCCGCGGCUACCAACAAUCCCGAGCCCCCCGCCGCAAUCCCGUCUGUCGCGCCGUGACCGCCACAUAAUCCGCCGCGCGCUCCGAGCUCAAUCCGGGGCGCGCGAAGCCCCGAGCUCAAUCCCCCGCAAGCCGCCCUGAGCUCAAUCCGCGAUCACAAGCACUGGAGCCGUUGAUUGUCUAUGGCGGAGAGGAAAAGGGAGGAGACGAGGAGCAGUCGCGCCGCCUCGGUGGACGCAAGAGCAAGGCCAGAGCUACACUUGGACAUACGCGAGGAAGCUGCCAAGAAGAACAGGGAACCACCGACCGCGUCCAACAUACGCCGGCAUUCAUCGUCACUGCAGGUCCGUGCCGCCUACCCGCAGCCGGGGUUGGCCAGCGCCAGCCACCAGGCCGUCGCGGCUUCAACUUCCAACGUCGUGCCCCGCCUGGCAACCGACCGUGUCCACCGCCUCCUGGCUAGUUGGGCAGGGUAGACACAAAGGUCUCAUCCAGUGCUCCACUCCUCCGUAGUAUAAUAACUUCAUUGGAUUUAAUUAUUGUGGCAUCAUUUUCUACUCCGAGACACCUGUUGAAUCUGGAAGUACAUGGUGCCUUAUUCCUCUCUUUUCUCCUUAUGGUACAAGGAUGAUUACUUUAAUUGAAUUGGUCUGCCACUGGCUGCUGCCAUCCACCGCGGGCUCGGUCGCCACGUCGACGCCAUCCCUGUCCUCGAGCGCGCCGUCACAGUCGUGGCGCCGGCACAAGAAUCGUCUGCCGACAGCGAGCCUGAGGCCGGUGCAGCCGGCGGCGACGACUACCAGCAGCUGCAGCCUGUCGAGCCCGACUAGAGGGGUGAGUGGUGCUGCUCCUGAUGAGAUCGCUGGAGGCUUAAUGGAGAUUCCUAUCAUCUAUGAUGCACUUGGCGAUCUCGAUGAGGCCCAAAAGCUUCUUCAUAUGGCACUCAGGUUGCUCGAGGGCUCAUCGAGGGAGUGGAGCAUUAUUGCCGGUGUUGUGGCACAAAUGGGCGUUCUGUACUACAUGGUGGGGAGAUGGGGCUAGCUUGUGUGUAGCUGUUCAAGAUAGAUGAGGUUGCACAGUUGUUUGAGGAGGCAAGGGCGGUUCUGGAGCAGGAGUGUGGCGCUUCUCAUCCUAAUACUCUUGGUGUGUACAACAACCUUGCUGCAAUCUAUAAUGCCAUGGGAAGUCCUAAUCUGUAGUACAGAUAGAUGGAGUAGACAGCCACAUAUUUGUGCCAAACAUUUGCUUCAGGCAAUGGUCUGAAGCGCAUCCGAUUCAGGGCUCAUAUUACAAAGCUUGAAAACAAGAAGACUCAUCUCCAAUCUAAACUUACAGAGGAGGAGAAAGAAAAUACAGUCCUCCAGGCAAAUUUAGAAAAACGAAAAGAAGCAUUACACAAGCGCCGUGUUGAAAGGGAAAUGUGCCCUUGGGCCAUUUCUAAGUAUUUUGGUGAUUGAGUGCAAACACA